rnacentral:rRNA from 1 species
CGGGUGAGUAAUACAUCGGAACGUGUCUUCUAGUGGGGGAUAACUGCCCGAAAGGGCAGCUAAUACCGCAUGAGACCUGAGGGUGAAAGCGGGGGAUCGCAAGACCUCGCGCUGGAAGAGCGGCCGAUGUCCGAUUAGCUAGUUGGUGAGGUAAAGGCUCACCAAGGCGACGAUCGGUAGCUGGUCUGAGGGGACGACCAGCACACUGGGACUGAGACACGGCCCAG